rnacentral:rRNA from 1 species
UACAGAGGGGGCAAGCGUUGUCCGGAAUCAUUGGGCGUAAAGCGCGUGUAGGCGGCUCGAUAAGUCUGCUGUGAAAGUCCAGGGCUCAACCCUGGAAUGCCGGUGGAAACUGUCGAGCUAGAGUCCGGAAGAGGCGAGUGGAAUUCCUGGUGUAGCGGUGAAAUGCGCAGAUAUCAGGAGGAACACCAAUGGCGAAGGCAGUUCGCUGGGACGGUACUGACGCUGAGACGCGAAAGCGUGGGGAGCAAACAGG